AUUUAAAUAGCUUAUUUAGAGCAUAACAUUGAAGCUGUUAAGGAAAUAUAUUUAUUUUUAAAUA
rnacentral:tRNA from 1 species